AACGAACGCUGGCGGCAUGCCUAACACAUGCAAGUCGAACGAGACCUCCGGGUCUAGUGGCGCACGGGUGCGUAACGCGUGGGAACCUGCCCUUAGGUUCGGAAUAACUCCCCGAAAGGGGUGCUAAUACCGGAUAAUGUCUUCGGACCAAAGAUUUAUCGCCUUUGGAUGGGCCCGCGUUGGAUUAGCUAGUUGGUAGGGUAAAAGCCUAUCAAGGCGACGAUCCAUAGCUGGUCUGAGAGGAUGAGCAGCCACACUGGGACUGAGACACGGCCCAGACUCCUACGGGAGGCAGCAGUGGGGAAUAUUGGACAAUGGGCGAAAGCCUGAUCCAGCAAUGCCGCGUGAGUGAUGAAGGCCUUAGAGUUGUAAAGCUCUUUUACCCGGGAUGAUAAUGACAGUACCGGGAGAAUAAGCUCCGGCUAACUCCGUG
rnacentral:rRNA from 1 species